rnacentral:rRNA from 1 species
CCUACGGGAGGCAGCAGUAGGGAAUAUUGCUCAAUGGGCGAAACCCUGAAGCAGCAACGCCGCGUGGAGGAUGAAGGUUUUCGGAUUGUAAACUCCUUUUUUUAGAGAAGAUAAUGACUGUAUCUAACGAAUAAGCACCGGCUAACUCCGUGCCAGCAGCCGCGGUAAUAAGGAGGGUGCACGCGUUACUCGGCAUCACUGGGCGUAAAGAGCGCGUAGGCGGGAUUGCAAGUCAGAUGUGAAAUCCUAUGGCUUAACCAUAGAACUGCAUUUGAAACUGUUAUUCUAGAGUAUGGGAGAGGUAGGUGGAAUGCUUGGUGUAGGGGUAAAAUCCGUAGAGAUCAAGAGGAAUACUGAUUGCGAAGGCGACAUGCUAGAACAUAACUGACGCUGAUGCGCGAAAGCGUGGGGAGCAAACAGGAUUAGAUACCCGGGUAGUC